CGGCGAAAAGGGCAAACCCAUCGAAAGGUGGGGGCGCAAAGCCACAGGUCUAAAGUUGGCGUGAGCUAACUAUGAUGGCUGGGUUGCCGCU
rnacentral:ncRNA from 1 species